GACGAACGCUGGCGGCGUGCUUAACACAUGCAAGUCGAACGGAAAGGCCUUUUCGGAGGUACUCGAGUGGCGAACGGGUGAGUAACACGUGGGUGAUCUGCCCUGCACUCUGGGAUAAGCCUGGGAAACUGGGUCUAAUACCGGAUAGGACCGCACUUUAGUGUGUGUGGUGGAAAGUUUUUUCGGUGUAGGAUGAGCCCGCGGCCGAUCAGCUUGUUGGUGGGGUAAUGGCCUACCAAGGCGGCGACGGGGAGCCGGACUGAGAGGUUGGGCGGCCACAUUGGGACUGAGAUACGGCCCAGCCUCCUACGGGAGGCAGCAGGGGGGAAUAUUGCACAAUGGGCGCAAGCCUGAUGCAGCGACGCCGCGUGGGGGAUGACGGCCUUCGGGUUGUAAACUCCUUUCGCCAGGGACGAAGCGUUUUGUGACGGUACCUGGAGAAGAAGCACCGGCUAACUACGUG
rnacentral:rRNA from 1 species